rnacentral:lncRNA from 1 species
CUUUCUUCUUCUUGGUUUGCCAUCUGAACCUCCUCGGCUGUUGCAUCUUGUUGAUUCUCAACAUUGGUUGCUUGUGUACUUACAAGUGACUCCUCCAAUACCUGAAAAUAAGCGUAUGGACCCCAACCUACAAGCAUUUUUGUCCACAAGUUCAGAUAACUUGGACAUUCCAAUCAGGAAGUAUGAUUAACUCCAUUAACUUGAUUAUUAACCAGCUUUUCAACUUAAUAUUGUUUGCUAUUAUACAGGAAUAUAUAAUCAAAAGCUAAGUGAUAAAAAAAUAAUGCAUCAAGUAUCAAUGUCAAGAGUGACACAGGCACCGCAUCAUAAGUGGACAAGCAAGCUUCCGUUAGCUACCAAACUAGAAGUUGGC